GUCAGGAAUAUUGGGCAAUGGGCGAAAGCCUGACCCAGCAACGCCGCGUGAAGGAUGAAGGCCUUCGGGUCGUAAACUUCUGUCGAGAGGGAAGAAUGUGUACGGGUGAACAAUCCGUGCAUUUGACGGUACCUCCAAAGGAAGCACCGGCUAACUCCGUGCCAGCAGCCGCGGUAAUACGGAGGGUGCAAGCGUUGUUCGGAUUCAUUGGGCGUAAAGCGAGUGUAGGCGGUUUGACAAGUCGGAUGUGAAAUCCCGGGGCCCAACCCCGGAACUGCAUCCGAUACUGUCUGGCUAGAGUCCCGGAGAGGGUGGCGGAAUUCCCGGUGUAGGGGUGAAAUCCGUAGAUAUCGGGAGGAACACCAGUGGCGAAGGCGGCCACCUGGACGGUGACUGACGCUGAGACUCGAAAGCGUGGGUAGCAAACAGGAUUAGAUACCCUGGUAGUCC
rnacentral:rRNA from 1 species